rnacentral:lncRNA from 1 species
GGAGGAGCCAAGAUGGCCGCAUAGGAACAGCUCCAGUCCACAGCUCCCAGCGUGAGCGACGCAGAAGACGGGUGAUUUCUGCAUUUCCAUCUGAGCAGGCUUUUCUUCUUGGAGCUGAAACAGGCGCACUGGCGAGGGUUGUGAGGAAAGGUUUGCAGCCCCCUGCCUUGGUCUGCUAUAGCCAGUGACACGAUCAAUACCAGGGUGAGCAGCAGAGGAAGCUCAGGGAAGAUUAUGAAGAUGAGGUCUUCUUUGAUAACAUGUCAAGGAGUUACAUUUGACAUAGCCCUGUUAUUUUUACCACAGGAAUUUGCCUGAGUUCUGAUCAAUGCUAAAAACACCAUUUAACAGUGCCCUUUCCUGCCUGGGAAGCCCACAAAGAUUUCGCUUUUCACUUAUUACUCAUCAAACUGACUCUGGUUCACAGUGGAAAAGAGAAGAAAAGCUGAUGGAGAAAUGGCAGUGAAGAAGGAGAACAAAAUGUCAGAGCAAUACUUUUGAGCGACUAUAUCCU